rnacentral:rRNA from 1 species
GACGAACGCUGGCGGCGUGCUUAACACAUGCAAGUCGAUCGAUGAACCCGGAGCUUGCUCCGGUGGAUUAGUGGCGAACGGGUGAGUAACACGUGAGUAACCUGCCCUUGACUCUGGGAUAACUGCGGGAAACUGUAGCUAAUACCGGAUACGACCCUCGGCGGCAUCGCCAGGGGGUGGAAAGAAUUUCGGUCAAGGAUGGACUCGCGGCCUAUCAGCUAGUUGGUGAGGUAACGGCUCACCAAGGCGACGACGGGUAGCCGGCCUGAGAGGGUGACCGGCCACACUGGGACUGGGACACGGCCCAGACUCCUACGGGAGGCAGCAGUGGGGAAUAUUGCACAAUGGGCGCAAGCCUGAUGCAGCAACGCCGCGUGAGGGAUGACGGCCUUCGGGUUGUAAAAUCCUUUCACCGGUGAAGAUAAUGACUGUAGCCGGAGAAGAAGCCCCGGCUAACUUCGUGCCAGCCGCCGCAGUAA